rnacentral:sRNA from 1 species
AAAUUAAAUCGGCCAAAUCUCAAUGAUUGAGAACGGAGGACCCAAUAUUCAGGGGUUAAUUCUGCAUUUGUAGAAAGGAUGAGAUACUCUUUCGCCAUCCUACCCGUCAGCUAACUUCGUCGGCUAAAGCGAAGGAGGUC